GCAUAAUGCAAAUUUCUUAUUUACGAAAAAGCAAAGAAAGAAUUAAAUCCGGCUUACCCGAUAUUUGAAUACCCUCUCCCACAAAUUCUAUUUGAAGUUACAAAAAGAAGACAAUUCAUGAGUCCCUAUUAUGUCAACGAAUGUUCAGGUUCAGCCUUAUGUAGAAUCCUUUUUUCCCACCACUGUAUGUAUAUUUAUAUAUAUAUUUUUUUGUCCACCACUGUGUAUAUAUGGAAGCUGUAUACACAUGAUCUGAUCGGGACCAAAUUCGGCAGAUAUGUGGAGGUCUGAUAAAAUAUUCUGUAGCACAUUCGGCCGAAAUCGGGAAGAUCGGUCCAAAUAUCAGGAUAUAUAAAUGUCUAAUGGAGCUUACGUUUCUGCCAAAUCGAGUAGUAAAUUGUAUUUAUGAAGUGUAUGCUGAAUGAAACCAUUUUUUAAAUCACUACCAUUUUAACCUCGGUACCAUUUUAACCUCAUGCUGAGGGGUACAAUGCAACUCACUGUAACGGCGGAAACGGGUAGUAAAUCUGGAGGCAGCAUUAUCCGACAUUGUUGUUUAUGGAAAUCGGGCAAAAUACAAUUUUUAUAAAUUCAAGAUUACUUAUCGGGAAAUCGGUAUAAUGGGUGCUAUAUCUAUGGUCACCUAUAACUAUACAAAUUUGCCCAUGAACACUCCAUUAAGGAACAGGGGCAAACGUCUCACAAUCAAGUUUAAGCUCAAUGAUAAGUGCGAACGGCGUGCCGCAGUGCGACACCUAUUUGCAGAGAAGUUUAUACUCGGCUGCCAUACCAAAUGGUACAGUACCUCACAUA